rnacentral:lncRNA from 1 species
AGUUUUCCUCUUCUCCUGUGUUAGAAAGCGUGAAGAAUAUAUGUUGGAAUGAGGGAGCCCACACAAGAUAGAGCUACCUGGAUUGUCACAUCACCUUGUGGUCAUCUGUACUAACAGCAGGUCCUGCAGAUGGAGUCUCCCUCUGUCACACAGGCUGGAGUGCAGUGGUGUGAUCAUAGCUCACUGCAGCCUCCAACUCCUCACCUCAAGCAAUUCUCCUCACUCAGACUCCUGAGUAGCUAGGAUUACAGGCCCAUGCCACCACCUCCAGAUAAUUUUAAACUUUUUUAUUUUACAAAUAGGAUUUUGCUAUGUUGUUCAGGCUGGUCUUGAACUCCUGGACUCAGAUGUUUGGCACGGCAUCUCAACUUGAUGUCUAUUUCUUCUUGUUCUCCUUCACCUCACAUGAACCUUCCAAGUCAUAAUUCUUUGGAAAUAGACACAAGGAGCUUUAUUUCAAAUUACCAUCCUUUACUUAAGAGGUUCCAUCUCUAAGCAUAUCAGCAAUCAUGGUGACGUGCCACUCUGCUGGUAAUUCAUAUGGCUUAUUCAGAAGCACAGAUCAUGGCUGUUAGACCUGCCAGAUGUUCCCGGUCCCUAGCUGCAAUUAAGUUCCAACAUAGCCCAAUUUGAAAGAGAUUGAGAAACCACAGUUCUCAUUAAGAAUAUUCAUGAGUUUGCACCUUGAAAAGCCAGCAAUCACAUGAUAUGCCAGAACGGACAAGAUCGUUUGAGAAGAGGAAAAAAAAAAAGAUGCAAUUUAAAAUAAGUUACCAGAGAAGAUCAUUUUACCUCGGUCUGGCCAGUUGAAACACUGUGUUUGCCAUUACACAGUGGGUGUUUUUGGGAUGUGACUGAAGUCAGCCUGAGUCCAAUGAAAAUUCUGAACUUCUUCUGGAAUUAUGGUGAAGGACAAACUCUUUUUGGGUUGUAAACCUGGCAAUGUGAGUAAGAAUCUUACUGUAGUGGGAGAAUGUGCCUGAGGAUGCAGCCAACACAAUAAAAAGCAGAGUCCGGUAGAUGAAGAGUAAUAGUGUUCUGAUGAUGUCACUUAAAGCACCAAGAUCCAGCCAUGCCUGAAGUUGAUAUACCCUUUUCAGUUAUUAAAAAAGUCAACAAAACCCCUUUUUAAAAGUAAGCUAGUUUAAACUGGAUUUCUUUCACUUAUGUCCAAAAGAGUUCUAAUUCAUACAAAGCCCUCAUUUUAUAGGCUUAGGAAACUGACACCAAGGACGAUGGC